rnacentral:rRNA from 1 species
UACGUAGGGUGCGAGCGUUAAUCGGAAUUACUGGGCGUAAAGCGUGCGCAGGCGGUUGUGUAAGACAGGUGUGAAAUCCCCGGGCUUAACCUGGGAAUUGCAUUUGUGACUGCACGGCUGGAGUGUGUCAGAGGGGGGUAGAAUUCCACGUGUAGCAGUGAAAUGCGUAGAUAUGUGGAGGAAUACCGAUGGCGAAGGCAGCCCCCUGGGAUAACACUGACGCUCAUGCACGAAAGCGUGGGGAGCAAACAGG